AACGAACGCUGGCGGCAUGCCUAACACAUGCAAGUCGAACGAGACCUUCGGGUCUAGUGGCGCACGGGUGCGUAACGCGUGGGAACCUGCCCUCAGGUUCGGACUAACUCCCCGAAAGGGGUGCUAAUACCGGAUAAUGUCUUCGGACCAAAGAUUUUUCGCCUUUGGAUGGGCCAGCGUUGGAUUAGCUAGUUGGUAGGGUAAUAGCCUACUAAGGCGACGAUCCAUAGCUUGUUUGAGAGGAUGGUCAGCCACACUGAGACUGGGACACGGCCCAGACUCCUACGGGAGGCAGCAGUGGUGAAUAUUGGACAGUGGGCGAAAGCCUGAUCCAUCAAUGCCGCGUGAGUGAUGAAGGCCUUAGGGUUGUAAAGCUCUUUUACCCGGGAUGAUAAUGACAGUACCGGGAGAAUAAGCUCCGGCUAACUCCGUG
rnacentral:rRNA from 1 species